rnacentral:rRNA from 1 species
CUUGAGAGUCCUGAAGGAACGUUGAAGACGACGACGUUGAUAGGUCGGGUGUGUAAGCGCAGCGAUGCGUUGAGCUAACCGAUACUAAUGAACCGUGAGGCUUAACCUU